CAGUCGCCGCGGUAAUACGAAGGGGGCUAGCGUUGCUCGGAAUCACUGGGCGUAAAGGGUGCGUAGGCGGGUCUUUAAGUCAGGGGUGAAAUCCUGGAGCUCGACUCCAGAACUGCCUUUGAUACUGAAGAUCUUGAGUUCGGGAGAGGUGAGUGGAACUGCGAGUGUAGAGGUGAAAUUCGUAGAUAUUCGCAAGAACACCAGUGGCGAAGGCGGCUCACUGGCCCGAUACUGACGCUGAGGCACGAAAGCGUGGGGAGCAAACAGGAUUAGAUACCCCGGUAGUCCCUGUCUCUUAUAA
rnacentral:rRNA from 1 species